GCGGUGUGUACAAAGGGCAGGGACGUAAUCAACGCAAGCUGAUGACUUGCAUUUACUAGGAAUUCCUCGUUCAAGAUUAAUAAUUGCAAUAAUCUAUCCCUAUCACGACACACAUUUACAAGAUUACCCAGACCUUUCGGACAAGGAAAACUCGCUGCAUGUGUCAGUGUAGCGCGCGUGCGGCCCAGAACAUCUAAGGGCAUCACAGA
rnacentral:misc_RNA from 1 species